AGUGAACGCUGGCGGUAGGCCUAACACAUGCAAGUCGAACGGCAGCACAGUAAGAGCUUGCUCUUACGGGUGGCGAGUGGCGGACGGGUGAGGAAUACAUCGGAAUCUACUUUUUCGUGGGGGAUAACGUAGGGAAACUUACGCUAAUACCGCAUACGACCUACGGGUGAAAGCAGGGGAUCUUCGGACCUUGCGCGAUUGAAUGAGCCGAUGUCGGAUUAGCUAGUUGGCGGGGUAAAGGCCCACCAAGGCGACGAUCCGUAGCUGGUCUGAGAGGAUGAUCGGCCGCACUGGAACUGAGACACGGUCCAGGCUCCUGCGGGAGGCAGCAGUGGGGAAUGUUGGACAAUGGGGGCAAGCCUGAUCCAGCCAUACCGCGUGGGUGAAGAAGGCCUUCGGGUUGUAAAGCCCUUUUGUUGGGAGAGAAAAGCAGCAGGUUAAUACCACGCUGUUCUGACGGUACCCAAAGAAUAAGCACCGGCUAACUUCGUG
rnacentral:rRNA from 1 species